UACGGGGGGGGCAAGCGUUGUUCGGAAUUACUGGGCGUAAAGGGCUCGUAGGCGGCCAACUAAGUCGGAUGUGAAAUCCCCAGGCUCAACUUGGGAACUGCAUCCGAUACUGGAUGGCUUGAAUUCGGGAGAGGGAUGCAGAAUUCCAGGUGUAGCGGUGAAAUGCGUAGAUAUCUGGAGGAAUACCGGUGGCGAAGGCGGCAGCCUGGACCGACAUUGACGCUGAGGAGCGAAAGCUAGGGGAGCAAGCGGG
rnacentral:rRNA from 1 species